CAGUCGCCACGGUAAGACAGAGGAUGCAAGCGUUAUCCGGAAUGAUUGGGCGUAAAGCGUCUGUAGGUGGCUUUUCAAGUCCGCCGUCAAAUCCCAGGGCUCAACCCUGGACAGGCGGUGGAAACUACCAAGCUGGAGUACGGUAGGGGCAGAGGGGGAUGGAAUUCCGCGUGUAGCAGUGAAAUGCGUAGAUAUGCGGAGGAACACCGAUAGCGAAGGCAAUCCCCUGGGCCUGCACUGACGCUCAUGCACGAAAGCGUGGGGAGCAAACAGGAUUAGAUACCCCUGUAGUCCCUGUCUU
rnacentral:rRNA from 1 species